rnacentral:tRNA from 1 species
GGCACCAUGGUGUAGUGGUUAUCACAUCUGCCUAACACGCAGAAGGCCCCAGUUCGGGCCUGGGUGGUGUCA